rnacentral:rRNA from 1 species
CUUGCUCCCGGAUGUUAGCGGCGGACGGGUGAGUAACACGUGGGUAACCUGCCUGUAAGACUGGGAUAACUCCGGGAAACCGGAGCUAAUACCGGAUAGUUCCUUGAACCGCAUGGUUCAAGGAUGAAAGACGGUUUCGGCUGUCACUUACAGAUGGACCCGCGGGGUGGGGUAAUGGCUCACCAAGGCGACGAUGCGUAGCCGACCUGAGAGGGUGAUCGGCCACACUGGGACUGAGACACGGCCCAGACUCCUACGGGAGGCAGCAGUAGGGAAUCUUCCGCAAUGGACGAAAGUCUGACGGAGCAACGCCGCGUGAGUGAUGAAGGUUUUCGGAUCGUAAAGCUCUGUUGUUAGGGAAGAACAAGUGCGAGAGUAACUGCUCGCACCUUGACGGUACCUAACCAGAAAGCCACGGCUAACUACGUGCCAGCAGCCGCGGUAAUACGUAGGUGGCAAGCGUUGUCCGGAAUUAUUGGGCGUAAAGGGCUCGCAGGCGGUUUCUUAAGUCUGAUGUGAAAGCCCCCGGCUCAACCGGGGAGGGUCAUUGGAAACUGGGAAACUUGAGUGCAGAAGAGGAGAGUGGAAUUCCACGUGUUAGCGGUGAAAUGCGUAGAGAUGUGGAGGAACACCAGUGGCGAAGGCGACUCUCUGGUCUGUAACUGACGCUGAGGAGCGAAAGCGUGGGGAGCGAACAGGAUUAGAUACCCUGGUAGUCCACGCCGUAAACGAUGAGUGCUAAGUGUUAGGGGGUUUCCGCCCCUUA